ensembl:lncRNA
UAUAUAUAUAUAUAUAUAUAUACAUGAAUUAUCUACACCUCUCACCUAACGUGAACCAUCACAGUUCACGUAGGGUUUGAGGUCCUCAUUCACACUCACAUUCACACAUACAAACAAACAAAUAUAAAUGCAUUAUCUUUACCUCUAACUUAACAUGAACUAUCACAGUUCACAUCGGGUUCGAGGUCCUCAUUCACACACAAACAAACAAACAAAUAUAAAUGCAUUAUCUUUACCUCUAACUUAACAUGAACCAUCACAGUUCACAUCGGGUUCGAGGUCCUCAUUCACACUCACAUUCACACAUACAAACAAACAAAUAUAAAUGCAUUAUCUUUACCUCUAACUUAACAUGAACUAUCACAGUUCACGUAGGGUUUGAGGUCCUCAUUCACACUCCCAUUCACACAUACAUACGCAUUGUCUUUACCUCUCACUCAAUAUGAGCUAUCACAGAUCACAUAAAUGAAAAACCUACAUAGGUUUGAUGAUGACUUUUACAGUUCACACUGGGCGAUAUGUCAUCAUUCACAUUCCCACAUACAUACAUACAAUUGUAUAUACAAAUAUAAAUUCACUCUCUUUACCUCUAACUUAACAUGAAUCUUCACAGUUCACGUUGGGUUUGAGGUCUUCAUUCACACUCACAGGUACAUAUGGCGGCAAACAACCACACAUACAUGCAAAAACCUGCUAGAAGGGGAUGUCUUAUUUUGUUCAUCUGCUGAGUUGCAGUUGAUUGCAUCUGUCUUUUGAAUAAACCAAUAGCCAUAUUUAAAUAUAGUGAUAUUUGGUGACAGUAUUUUUACCUGAUUAGAAGGGACGAGGUGCGAUGAGGUGUAUUGGACAUAAAAGAAUUGCUCUGGCAAAAGAAUUGGUCUGGCAGCCUGAGGAGGCAGUUUGACUGGCUGUAAUUCAAGUCUGAACUGCAGCUGUUAGGCAUUAAAGUGCUAAUCCUUUGUCCUAUAAUGCUCCAUUAACCCGAUGCCGAUGCCAACAAUACAUCCUACUGUCACCACAGUUUUGGCGAGGUCAGACCACCAACUUCUGGCCCCAACCGGUGUCUCCUCUGUCUCAUCCGUCUCUGAGAGGAACCCUUCGUCACUGUAAUACUCAGAUGAGUCUGGGUCUUCAACAUAGAUUAUGAAUUCCUCUCUGCUAUCUACCUGUAUUUCCUGCAGUCUGAAUUGUUGGAUCUCUGACAGACAUUGGUCAUUGGUCUGUUUAAGUAGUUCCAUUUCCUCAUCUCGCUCCGAGAAUUUUCUGUCCCAUCUUUCAACUUGAUUCUGAAGGUCAUCAAUUGUUGUAGAAAGACGUUCAGUGACGUUGAUGAGGACCCUCUCACCGAUCAGGAUCUGGUUCUUCAUAGUUCGGUGUUCCUCAAGUAGCACUUCAACAUCUGCCUCCAGUUUAGAAAUCCUUGGCUGAUUUAGAUGUUUCUCGUCAACGUUUCUCAGGAUUAUUGUUCCCAAGUGCAGAUCAAUUUUUGCCGAUUCCUCCCAUAGAAGCCUCAGUUCACGGAAUUGUGAUUUUGCCAUGACGCUUGGAAGUCUUCAAACACGUCCACUCUGUUGGUUGUCCAAAGUAAGAAUGCAUCCAAGAUGCCUUCUGGAGCCUUAAGAACUCUUUGACGUAGGCUGUGACGCGUUCCCUUCCCUUUCAUCUUUGUGUGACGUCAUAACAUUCUAUGCGCCACCUGUUUUUCCAUCCAGCUUCGGAGACGUGUGCACCGAAUGCGUCACAGGUUAAGUCACGUGACUUUGGCGUCUAACGCGCUGGCAAACGGUCACGGCGGCUCGCGUAUCUGCAUCCGACCCUCGGAAAGUAUCGUUAACUAUGAAAGCCUUUCAAUCUUCACAAGAGUUUAGAGUCUAAACUCUCCAGAUUGAAAACCUCCGUAAGAUAUAGGUCUAAACUUUAGACCUAUAAAGGUGCGGAGUAAUUUACACGUCAUCCUCCUGGUCGAACGCUCCAUUUGUCGGUCUUCGGGUCACAUCAUCCGUCACAUUUAUUAAUUCUUUAAAGAUUCAUUGAUUAGUCAAUCAACAGAAAUCGACUCGCCAACUAUUUUGAUGAAUCUACGAAUUGAGCAAUAUAGAAAGCAAUUUGAAGACGUCAGGCUGUGAUGGUACUUCGCUAAACUUGAGGACAUAUGGAUUCAUGACUCUUAACUAGUUGUACCCAUACAUGUUUACAAAAGGAGAAAUCUUAGACAAUGUGUUUUAAUAUCUUGUGAAAUACAAAAAUACUCAGGGGACCAAGUAUGGCGAAAAUAGCAGCAAAUCAUCACAUACUAGAUGAUUGAAACGAUUAUUAAGUACUUAAUCGAUUACUAAAAGCAUUGCCAUGUAUUCUCUCAACUCAUUCAAUACGUGUUUUAUACAUUAUACGUUAAAUCUUUUUUGAAUUAACUUAAAAACAACUUUAAUCCAAAAAGAUAACUACAACACGUCAUGGUUAAAUACAAUUUUUCUUAUUUAUUUUUCAACACUUAUGUCAUUUUGAUUCUUGGUGAACUCUUAUUACCCUUUCCCUUUCAUUAAAUGAUGACGCAUACGCAAACCCCAUGCUAGCCUGCACAGCUGUCCUCAAGUCCCAGAGAUCCUCAUUGCUUCUCAGUGAUUCGUCUCGCCGUCCCCACGUAGACAAUGUAGACACAAUAAUAGACAAUGUGAUAUGCUGCACAGGGAUGGAAGCAGGGGCGAUGCCUUUAGCUGGACACAGAGCGGCGCAAGAGUCUCAGAAAUGCUGGUAGAAGUUCAACACAUCAACGACAGUAUAUGAGAAGAGCACAUGAACGUUGCCUGAGGAUUGAUUUCGUUAUAGAAAGUACAGAGCCAUCCAGACCCUCCCCUUUAUUUUUUUGAUUUUUUUAUUCUCUCCUUUUCCUCCCCCCCAUUUCUCUUUGUGCCUAUGGGUAUGUAUGUGUCUAUAUGUAUGUGUGUAUACAUGUGUGUACCCUGUCUGUGUUGAAAAUGCACACACAAUACACAGUUAAACAAUAAACCUGUUGUGUAGUAGCAGAAUGUAUGCAUUUGCAUUUCUGUGUGCUGUAG